AGCGGCCGCGGUAAUUCCAGCUCCAAUAGCGUAUAUUAAAGUUGCUGCAGUUAAAAAGCUCGUAGUUGAAUUUCGGGACCAUCAUGUCGGUCGUGCCUCGGUACGUACUGGCAUUGUUGGUUUCUCCCUUCUGACGAACCAUGAUGUCAUUUAUUUGGUGUUGUGGGGAAUCAGGACUGUUACUUUGAAAAAAUUAGAGUGUUUAAAGCAGGCUCACGCUUGAAUACAUUAGCAUGGAAUAAUGAAAUAGGACGUUUGAUUCUAUUUUGUUGGUUUCUAGGAUCGACGUAAUGAUUAAUAGGGAUAGUUGGGGGCAUUAGUAUUCAAUUGUCAGAGGUGAAAUUCUUGGAUUUAUUAAAGACUAACUACUGCGAAAGCAUUUGCCAAGGAUGUUUUCAUUAAUCAAGACGAAAGUUAGGGGAUCGAAGACGAUCAGAUACCGUCGUAGUCUUAACCAUAAACUAUGCCGACUAGGGAUCGGAUGAUGUUAAUUUUUUAAUGACUCAUUCGGC
rnacentral:rRNA from 1 species